rnacentral:ncRNA from 1 species
AAAAAGUUUUAUUCUAGCUUAAGAAUUAGAUAUUAUUUUUAAUUUAUAUGUAAAGUUUAAUAAAAAUGCCUUAUUUUUUUAAAUAAAAAUAAGGUCUUAAGAAUCGCAGUAAAUAAUUUUAAAUAUUAAAGAAAUUUAGAAUUAGAAAUAAUAUUAAGUAUUGACAAUAUUUGUGCCAGCAGUUGCGGUUAGACAAAUAAUAUGAUUUAAUUUUUUUAGAUAUAAUUAUUUUAAAUAUAUAAAAUUAUAAAUUUAAUAAAAUUAGGUGAAAUUUUUUUAUUAAAAAAGAAUUAUUGUAAGUUUAAGAAGUUAAAAAAUUUUUAAAUUAAACUAGGAAUUAGAUACCCUAUUAUUAAUUAUUUAAAUUAUUAUUCUAAAUUAGUAUUAGCUAUGUUCUUGAAAAUUAAAGAUUUUGGCGGUAUUUUAGUCUAUUCAGAGGAAUCUGUUCUGUUAUUGAUAUUCCACGAUUAAAUUUACUUAUAUUAAUUAGUUUGUAUAUCGUUGUAGUAGGAUAUUUUAAAAGAAGUUAAUAUACAAAAUUUUUAAUUAAAAAAGAAAUCAGAUCAAGGUGCAGUUUAUAUAUAAGAAGAAAUGGAUUACAAUAAAUUUAUAUUUAUGGAUAUUAAUUUUAAAAAUUAGUUGAAACUGGAUUUGAUAGUAAUUUUUUUAUAAUAAAAAAAUGAUUUAAGCUCUAAAAUAUGCACAUAUCGCCCGUCGCUUUCAUAUAAAAUGAAAUAAGUCGUAACAAAGUAGGCUUACUGGAAGGUGUGCCUAGAAAGAU